rnacentral:sRNA from 1 species
CAGUAGCAACUCAUGGAGUGCAAGCGAUGUGGACCUCCGUCCUGCUGCUCGUGACGGUCGAAAUGCCAGGACCAGCCAGAGAAGCUCGUCAAAAAGGAGACGCUCACUGAGCACCAAGAUGACGCUCCAGAAGAUCGACCAUGUGGCCCAGCCAACUGGGAUGUAAGGCGCGGAUCCUGUGCGACCUUUGCUACCGCACCUAGGAGCUUGCACCGAUGCGCAACGACAGCCGGCAUGGGUUUGAUGGCCUGUUCCAGACCUUGGGCACCACCAUUAAGCGCUUCAACUAGGCUAUACACUUUCCGGCCCUCGUACUUCCUUCCUUCUCAGAUGCAGCAGAAGGUGGAGGCCAUGAAGGAGCUCAACGAGGUGCUCAAGGCGCUUACCCUUAAUCGACCACCAAUUAAGCAAAUGUAAGACAUUGGCUCAUUUCGUUAUAUAUUCCUUGCCAUUGCAGUUUCCCAUUUGGAGCUCGACAAAGACGAGUUGGACAAAGAGCUGCUUGCAGUUGCGCAGCUACGUGGUGGCAUGACAGUGCGGCACCUUAAAGCGCUCCUUGAUGCGAAUCGCAUAUGUUUUGGCUAGACUAGAUGCACCAGUAGCAGAGAGAGAGAGCCAAUGACUUACGCCGAGAGUAAGAUCACGCACGUUUUCCUUGCUGCAUUUGCUGUUCCUUUGCUUUCCCUAUUGGUGAUGACACGGCUUGAUCUGAACGCCAGAGCUGAAGCCCCUGCGAUCUAAUCCAGGAAGUUCCUUUGCGCCAUGUACUGUGUGGUUAGUAGCAGGACCAAUAGCAUUCUAUGAAAAAGGAACUGCUUGCGAAGACUUGGGAAAUUCUGCUUUGAAGUGCCUAAUAAUUCUACAUAUAUGUAUGCCUGAUUGCGAGGACGAUGUCCGACGAAUUCGAGUCUGAGGCUUAUCCCGCAGAGCUAGAAGAGUUAAUAGAAAUACUGUAAAGAACGUAUUAAAUAUCACUUUAAUAAAAAAUUG